rnacentral:rRNA from 1 species
AUAAAGGAUAAAUUAAUAAAUAAAUAAAUAUAAAAAAAAUUUUUAAUAUAAAUAUUUAAUUGGGGGGUUAAAGUAUUUUAUAGAAAAAAUUAAAAAAUUUAUAGUUAAAUAGUAUUGUGAAAGAAAUUUGAAAAAUUUUAAAAUAAAAAUUUAUAUAAAAGUAAAUUUUAAUUAUUGUAUCUUGAGUAUCAGAGUUUAUUAAAAAAUAAUUUUAUAAAAAAUUAUUUCGAAUUUAAAAGAGUUAAUUAAUUAAAAAAUUUAAUAUUACAUAAUUAUUUUAAAUAAUUAAUUAGAAAUGAAAAGUUAAUCGUUUUUAAAUAUAUCUAAUUUUUUUGGAAAAAAAUUUAAUUUUAAAUUAAUUUAAUUUAAUAAUUAAUUAAUUAAUUAUUAUUAGUUUUAAUUAAAUAUUUUAAGGGAUAAGCUUUAAAUUAAAAUAUUAUAAAUAAUUAUUUUUAUUAAAUUGAAAAUUUUAAAAUUUAUAUUUUUUAUAAAUUAUAAUUUAUUAUAAAUAAUUUCAUUUAAUUAAAAUUUAAUAUUUAUUUAAUUUUUUACAUGAAUUAUAGUUUUUAAUUUUAAAAAAUUAGUAAUAAUGAUAAAAUUAGUAUAUAAUAAUAAAUUUUUAAAAAAAAUUAUUAAAAUUAAUGGAAAAGAAUUCGGCAAAAAU